UGGGGAAUAUUGGACAAUGGGCGCAAGCCUGAUCCAGCCAUGCCGCGUGAGUGAUGAAGGCCUUAGGGUUGUAAAGCUCUUUCGGCGGGGACGAUAAUGACGGUACCCGCAGAAGAAGCCCCGGCUAACUUCGUGCCAGCAGCCGCGGUAAUACGAAGGGGGCUAGCGUUGCUCGGAAUCACUGGGCGUAAAGGGCGCGUAGGCGGACAUUUAAGUCGGGGGUGAAAGCCCAGGGCUCAACCCUGGAAUUGCCUCCGAUACUGGGUGUCUCGAGACCGGAAGAGGUGAGUGGAACUGCGAGUGUAGAGGUGAAAUUCGUAGAUAUUCGCAAGAACACCAGUGGCGAAGGCGGCUCACUGGUCCGGUUCUGACGCUGAGGCGCGAAAGCGUGGGGAGCAAACAGGAUUAGAUACCCUGGUAGUCCACGCCGUAAACGAUGGAUGCUAGCCGUUGGCAGGCUUGCCUAUCAGUGGCGCAGCUAACGCUUUAAGCAUCCCGCCUGGGGAGUACGGCCGCAAGGUUAAAACUUAAAUGAAUUGACGGGGUCAUAGCUGUUUCCU
rnacentral:rRNA from 1 species